rnacentral:lncRNA from 1 species
ACCAGCAGUAGAUCAAGACUUUCGACAUAACCCUAAUCUGAUGAGAUUAGAUCACCCAAAGAGUCCUAAUCAACUUGGACUCUUCCAAAUUGACUCUAGAAUUAAACUCUUUUAAUUUUGAUGAAUUUACAAAUCAAGAUUGAUAUCUAGCAAUAUGUCAUGACUACCCAAAAGAUUUAAAAUUUUGAUGAAAAAUUAUCAAAAUAUACCUUCAGUGGUAAGUU